CCGUUUAUGGUGAAGUGGGUGAUCCUAUGCUGUCGAGAAAAACCUCUAGCGAGCUAUGCGCCGCCCGUACCCAAACCGACUCAGGUGAUCAGGUAGAGAAUACCAAGGCGAUCGAGCGAACCAUGGUUAAGGAACUCGGCAAAAUACCCCCGUAACUUCGGGAGAAGGGGGACCCAUCUCGUGAACCACCUUGCGUGGGGAAGCGGGUGUGGGUCGCAGAGACCAGGCCCAAGCGACUGUUUACUAAAAACACAGGUCCGUGCGAAGUUGUAAGACGAUGUAUACGGACUGACUCCUGCCCGGUGCUGGAAGGUUAAGAGGACCGGUUAGACCCUUCGGGGUCGAAGCUGAGAAUUUAAGCCCCAGUAAACGGCGGUGGUAACUAUAACCAUCCUAAGGUAGCGAAAUUCCUUGUCGGGUAAGUUCCGACCUGCACGAAUGGAGUAACGACUUGGGCGCUGUCUCAACCAUGGACUCGGCGAAAUUGCACUACGAGUAAAGAUGCUCGUUACGCGCGGCAGGAC
rnacentral:rRNA from 1 species